rnacentral:rRNA from 1 species
AGCCAGCAUACCCGCGAUACUAAUACAUGCAAGUCGAGCGAACUGAUUAGAAGCUUGCUUCUAUGACGUUAGCGGCGGACGGGUGAGUAACACGUGGGCAACCUGCCUGUAAGACUGGGAUAACUCCGGGAAACCGGAGCUAAUACCGGAUAACAUUUUCUCUUGCAUAAGAGAAAAUUGAAAGAUGGUUUCGGCUAUCACUUACAGAUGGGCCCGCGGUGCAUUAGCUAGUUGGUGAGGUAACGGCUCACCAAGGCAACGAUGCAUAGCCGACCUGAGAGGGUGAUCGGCCACACUGGGACUGAGACACGGCCCAGACUCCUACGGGAGGCAGCAGUAGGGAAUCUUCCGCAAUGGACGAAAGUCUGACGGAGCAACGCCGCGUGAGUGAUGAAGGCUUUCGGGUCGUAAAACUCUGUUGUUAGGGAAGAACAAGUACAAGAGUAACUGCUUGUACCUUGACGGUACCUAACCAGAAAGCCACGGCUAACUACGUGCCAGCAGCCGCGGUAAUACGUAGGUGGCAAGCGUUAUCCGGAAUUAUUGGGCGUAAAGCGCGCGCAGGCGGUUUCUUAAGUCUGAUGUGAAAAGCCCACGGCUCAACCGUGGAGGGUCAUUGGAAACUGGGGAACUUGAGUGCAGAAGAGAAAAGCGGAAUUCCACGUGUAGCGGUGAAAUGCGUAGAGAUGUGGAGGAACACCAGUGGCGAACGCGGCUUUUUGGUCUGUAACUGACGCUGAGCGCGAAAGCGUGGGGAGCAAACAGGAUUAAAUACCCUGGUAGUCCACGCCGUAGACCAUCAGUUGCUAAGUGUUAUAGGGUGUUCCUGCCCCUGGUA